UACGUAGGCAGCGAGCGUUGUUCGGAAUUACUGGGCGUAAAGGGCUCGUAGGCGGCCAACUAAGUCAGACGUGAAAUCCCUCGGCUUAACCGGGGAACUGCGUCUGAUACUGGAUGGCUUGAGUAUGGGAGAGGGAUGCGGAAUUCCAGGUGUAGCGGUGAAAUGCGUAGAUAUCUGGAGGAACACCGGUGGCGAAGGCGGCAUCCUGGACCAUUACUGACGCUGAGGAGCGAAAGCCAGGGGAGCAAACGGG
rnacentral:rRNA from 1 species